rnacentral:rRNA from 1 species
UACAGAGGAGCCAAGCGUUGUCCGGAUUGACUGGGCGUAAAGCGCACGCAGGCGGAUGCGCGCGUGGGGUGUGAAAUCUGGCCGCUUAACGGCCAGGCGCCAUCCCAUACGGCGCGUCUGGAGUGAUGCAGAGGUCGGUGGAAUUGCCGGUGUAGUGGUGAAAUGCGUAGAGAUGUGGAGGAACACCAGUGGCGAAGGCGACUCUUUGGUCUGUAACUGACGCUGAGGCGCGAAAGCGUGGGGAGCAAACAGG